CAAGUAGUAGUCGAAGUAGUAUGUAGCAUGUCCGAAUUGGCCACUGGAGCGAGUAGCAUGCUACUUCAGAUACUACCUCAGAUACUAGACAUGAGCUGCGUCGGAAUUGCCAAGUAGUAGUCGAAGUAGUAGUCGAAGUAGUAUCUAGCAUGUCCGAAUUGGCCACCGGAGCGAGUAGCAUGCUACUUCAGAUACUACUUCAGAUACUAGACACGCCCACAUUGUAGGUUGGUCUCGGUGCAUCCUACGGGCAUGCUACUGACCCAAAAUGCACCGCGGGCUUCUUCUUCGUCCUCUUAAAAGUUGUAGAAGCGCAUGUGAUGCUAGCGCCACCAGCUGCUCUGCCUAUUUAAAUGUGUCGCGAACGCCGGCUGGCCACAGCAGCGCGCACCAUGUCGG